AUUCUGUGAUGAGGGCACUUCCAUAAUGAUUCUUUGUACCUUUCCCAUGCCUCAUACAAGGACUCGUCAUCCAUUUGUUGAAAAGCAGUGAUCUCCUUCCUCAACUU
rnacentral:snoRNA from 1 species